AACGAACGCUGGCGGCAGGCCUAACACAUGCAAGUCGAGCGCCCAGCAAUGGGAGCGGCGGACGGGUGAGUAACGCGUGGGAAUUUUUCCUGGAGUACAGAACAACCGAGGGAAACUUCGGCUAAUACCGUAUGAUGCCGAGAGGCCAAAGAUUUAUCGCUCUGGGGUGAGCCCGCGUCAGACUAGGUAGUUGGUGGGUAAAGGCCUACCAAGCCUGCGAUCUGUAGCUGGC
rnacentral:rRNA from 1 species